UACGAAGGGGGCUAGCGUUGUUCGGAAUUACUGGGCGUAAAGCGUAUGCAGGCGGACUUUUAAGUCGGGGGUGAAAUCCCGAGGCUCAACCUCGGAACUGCCUUCGAUACUGAAAGUCUUGAGUCCGGGAGAGGUGAGUGGAACUGCGAGUGUAGAGGUGAAAUUCGUAGAUAUUCGCAAGAACACCAGUGGCGAAGGCGGCUCACUGGCCCGGUACUGACGCUGAGAUACGAAAGCGUGGGGAGCAAACAGGG
rnacentral:rRNA from 1 species